rnacentral:rRNA from 1 species
CCCCGGCGAGGGGAGUGAAAAAGAACCUGAAACCGUGUACGUACAAGCAGUGGGAGCACGCUUAGGCGUGUGACUGCGUACCUUUUGUAUAAUGGGUCAGCGACUUAUAUUCUGUAGCAAGGUUAACCGAAUAGGGGAGCCGAAGGGAAACCGAGUCUUAACUGGGCGUUAAGUUGCAGGGUAUAGACCCGAAACCCGGUGAUCUAGCCAUGGGCAGGUUGAAGGUUGGGUAACACUAACUGGAGGACCGAACCGACUAAUGUUGAAAAAUUAGCGGAUGACUUGUGGCUGGGGGGGGAAGGCCAAUCAAACCGGGAGAUAGCUGGUUCUCCCCGAAAGCUAUUUAGGUAGCGCCUCGUGAAUUCAUCUCCGGGGGUAGAGCACUGUUUCGGCAAGGGGGUCAUCCCGACUUACCAACCCGAUGCAAACUGCGAAUACCGGAGAAUGUUAUCACGGGAGACACACGGCGGGUGCUAACGUCCGUCGUGAAGAGGGAAACAACCCAGACCGCCAGCUAAGGUCCCAAAGUCAUGGUUAAGUGGGAAACGAUGUGGGAAGGCCCAGACAGCCAGGAUGUUGGCUUAGAAGCAGCCAUCAUUUAAAGAAAGCGUAAUAGCUCACUGGUCGAGUCGGCCUGCGCGGAAGAUGUAACGGGGCUAAACCAUGCACCGAAGCUGCGGCAGCGACACUAUGUGUUGUUGGGUAGGGGAGCGUUCUGUAAGCCUGUGAAGGCGUACUGUGAGGGAUGCUGGAGGUAUCAGAAGUGCGAAUGCUGACAUAAGUAACAAUAAAGCGGGUGAAAAGCCCGCUCGCCGGAAGACCAAGGGUUCCUGUCCAACGUAAAUCGGGGCAGGGUGAGUCGCCCCCUAAGGCGAGGCCGAAAGGCGUAGUCGAUGGGAAACAGGUUAAUAUUCCUGUACUUGGUGUUACUGCGAAGGGGGGACGGAGAAGGCUAUGUUGGCCGGGCGACGGUUGUCCCGGUUUAAGCGUGUAGGCUGGUUUUCCAGGCAAAUCCGGAAAAUCAAGGCUGAGGCGUGAUGACGAGGCACUACGGUGCUGAAGCAACAAAUGCCCUGCUUCCAGGAAAAGCCUCUAAGCAUCAGGUAACAUCAAAUCGUACCCCAAACCGACACAGGUGGUCAGGUAGAGAAUACCAAGGCGCUUGAGAGAACUCGGGUGAAGGAACUAGGCAAAAUGGUGCCGUAACUUCGGGAGAAGGCACGCUGAUAUGUAGGUGAAGCGACUUGCUCGUGGAGCUGAAAUCAGUCGAAGAUACCAGCUGGCUGCAACUGUUUAUUAAAAACACAGCACUGUGCAAACACGAAAGUGGACGUAUACGGUGUGACGCCUGCCCGGUGCCGGAAGGUUAAUUGAUGGGGUUAGCCGCAAGGAAGCUCUUGAUCGAAGCCCCGGUAAACGGCGGCCGUAACUAUAACGGUCCUAAGGUAGCGAAAUUCCUUGUCGGGUAAGUUCCGACCUGCACGAAUGGCGUAAUGAUGGCCAGGCUGUCUCCACCCGAGACUCAGUGAAAUUGAACUCGCUGUGAAGAUGCAGUGUACCCGCGGCAAGACGGAAAGACCCCGUGAACCUUUACUAUAGCUUGACACUGAACAUUGAGCCUUGAUGUGUAGGAUAGGUGGGAGGCUUUGAAGUGUGGACGCCAGUCUGCAUGGAGCCGACCUUGAAAUACCACCCUUUAAUGUUUGAUGUUCUAACGUGGACCCGUGAUCCGGGUUGCGGACAGUGUCUGGUGGGUAG